GCCAGCUGAUCCAAAAUAAAGUCCAGUCUACUCUGAGAUGAAGACAGGGAAAGCCACAACAGCUGGACCUGUUGAUGUGACCUAUGCUGAGGUUGUCCUCCAAAAGAAGACCAAAGCCAAGAAGAAGAGAAACAACAACCCCACCUGAGGCAGAUUCAGUCUAUUCUCAACUUAAGCCAGGCA